AUCCAGUUGAUGAGUUCCAAAUAGGACGGAACGUGUGUCCUUGAU
rnacentral:hammerhead_ribozyme from 1 species